rnacentral:rRNA from 1 species
CGUAGGUGAACCUGGGGA